rnacentral:rRNA from 1 species
GAUGAACGCUAGCGGCAGGCUUAAUACAUGCAAGUCGAGGGGCAUCAAGGUACACGAAAGUGUAUUGUUGGCGACCGGCGGACGGGUGAGUAAUAGGUAGGUAACCUACCUCAUACUGAGGCAUAGCUGGGAGAAAUUCCAGGUAAUUCCUCAUGAGGUUAUAUGACACAUGUGAUAUAAUCAAAGGUAUCGCAAGGUACUGGUAUGAGAUGGGCUUACUGACCAUUAGCUAGUUGGUGAGAUAAGAGCUCACCAAGGCGAAGAUGGUUAGGGGUUUUGAGAGAGAGAUCCCCACAUUGGAACUGAGAUACGGUCCAGACUCCUACGGGAGGCAGCAGUAGGGAAUAGUUGGGCAAUGGGCGGAAGCCUGACCCAGCCAUGCCGCGUGAAGGAAGACGGCCUUAGUGGGUUGUAAACUUCUUUACUAUGUCGACUAACUAGUAUUUACGAAGUAUAAUUCUAUAGAAUGUAGCAUAGACAAAAGCACGUACC